AGAAGGGGGACGUGGAGAAUCCUGUGCUGUCAGGAGCCCAGCAGAGACCUCAGCAACUUCUUGCAACGACUCAACGCAUUUAGGGAUCUCUGCCAUUUGUUUUUGUUUCCUUUCACUGUCUUCUCUGCUAUUAUUGUUUCAAUGUGCAAAGAUGCUGCACAUCCAGAAAGGAAAUCACUGCUGGAUCCAAGCAGCACAACCACCCUUCACUCCAGCUCUCUGCAGGCAAAUCACUAGAAAGAAGAGGAAAGCCUGCUUGUAGCAGCCUGUAUCCCUUCAGUGUCAUAUUAUAUUACCAUCCACCAUGUUAGCAAAUGGGAAAAUAAACAUGGGCUGGAUAGCA
rnacentral:lncRNA from 1 species